GUGGGUGUCUUCUAAUGGUUAGGAAAUCUCGUUGUGGCCUCGCAACCCCGUGAAAAUGUCGGUUCGAUUCCGGCCACCCACA
rnacentral:tRNA from 1 species